GUGUUUGCUUCAGCAACACAUAUACUAAAAUUGGAAUGAUACAGAGAAGAGUAAAAUUGCCUCUGUACAUGGAUGAUAUGGAAAUUUGUGAAGUUUUCCAUAUUUCU
ensembl:snRNA U6 U6 spliceosomal RNA